rnacentral:rRNA from 1 species
UACGUAGGGUGCAAGCGUUGUCCGGAAUUAUUGGGCGUAAAGAGCUCGUAGGCGGUUUGUCGCGUCUGUUGUGAAAACUGGGGGCUUAACUCCGGGCCUGCAGUGGGUACGGGCAGACUAGAGUGCGGUAGGGGAGACUGGAAUUCCUGGUGUAGCGGUGAAAUGCGUAGAUAUCGGGAAGAAUACCGAUGGCGAAGGCAGGUCUCUGGGCUAUAACUGACGCUCAUGCACGAAAGCGUGGGGAGCAAACAGG